CGUAGGUGAACCUGCGGAAGGAUCAUUAUUGUAUAACCGAGGUGCGAGGGCUGUCGCUGACCCGAAAGGUCGUGCACGCCCGAGUGCCCUCACACACAUCCAUCUCACCCCUAUGUGCACCACCGCGUGGGUCCCCCUUUGGCUUGUUCGGAGGGGGGCUUACGUUUUCACACAAACUUUGUAUGCAGUGUAGAAUGUAUUUUUUGUUUUUGCGAUCACGCAAUCAAUACAACUCUCAACAACGGAUCUCUUGGCUCUC
rnacentral:misc_RNA from 1 species